UAAGCGCUAUUCAGAGUCAUCAAACAUCUGCAUCUCUUUAUCUCCAUCUCUCAUUACCUCCACCAACCCCCCCCCCCUCCAUGGUCUCUGGGUGUUUGUUGUUAGCUUCCUGUCACAGAGGAAGGGCCUCACCCUGUCGCCUUGCUUGCUAUUGGUCCCUUCUCUGAUGAACUGUGAUUUUGACCCAGUGAGGGGGGUUAGAAGAGGAUAGAAAAGGGUUUGGGACAAGAACAGUGGAGAAAGGCUGAGGGAGGCUGCACUGAACAUUUCUGUGCUUUACUACAUAAGAGGAAAGAGCUUUGUGUUGCAGGAGACGCUGGACUGGUUUGGGGGGAGUUGUUCCAAGUAAUAACCGCUGAAAAUUCAUUCCUCCACCGAUGAUGAUCCUCUUGAUUAUCUUACAUUGUAAGAAACUAGGUACACAUAUGUUUUGCAUGGCCAAACAUAAUGUUCUACUCUUGAUUUUAUAUGUGAUCGCUGGAUGGAGUCAUCAACAUAGUAUGGUUCGUUUAAGCAAGUAAACAAAAGAGGAAGGUGAAGACAACAGCGUGUUCCUUUCGCAAGGUGGAUGUCUCACUUCUGUCAUACAUACUGUACCUGUAUUGUGGAAAAAUGUGAACAAAAAUGUGAACAAUGCAAAAUACAGGAAGCAUAUUCUGAGAUCCAACUGUAAUGCAAGUGCAUGAUGCCAAAUGUGAGCAAUAAAAAUACAACAAAUUG